rnacentral:rRNA from 1 species
CCUACGGGGGGCUGCAGUGAGGGAUAUUGCACAAUGGGGGAAACCCUGAUGCAGCGACGCCGCGUGGGUGAUGAAGGCUUUCGGGUCGUAAAACCCUUUUCUAGGUGACGAGCAAGGACGGUAGCCUAGGAAUAAGUCUCGGCUAACUACGUGCCAGCAGCCGCGGUAAAACGUAGGAGGCAAGCGUUAUCCGGAGUUACUGGGCGUAAAGCGCAUGUAGGCGGUUGGGCAAGUGGCGUGUGAAAGCUCCCGGCUAAACUGGGAGAGGACACGUC